CCUACGGGAGGCAGCAGUAGGGAAUCUUUCACAAUGGGCGAAAGCCUGAUGGAGCAACGCCGCGUGCAGGAUGAAGGCCUUCGGGUUGUAAACUGCUUUUAUAAGCGAGAAAUAUGAUGGUAACUUAUGAAUAAGGAUCGGCUAACUACGUGCCAGCAGCCGCGGUCAUACGUAGGAUCCGAGCAUUAUCCGGAGUAACUGGGUGUAAAGAGUUGCGUAGGUGGCAUAAUAAGUAGCUAGUGAAAUCUGGUGGCUCAACCAUUCAGACUAUUAGCUAAACUGUUAAGCUCGAGACCGUUAGGGGUAACUGGAAUUUCUAGUGUAGGAGUGAAAUCCGUAGAUAUUAGAAGGAACACCAGUAGCGUAGGCAGGUUGCUGGGACGGUUCUGACACUAAGGCACGAAAGCGUAGGGAGCAAACGGGAUUAGAUACCCCUGUAGUC
rnacentral:rRNA from 1 species